AACCUGGUUGAUCCUGCCAGUAGUCAUAUGCUUGUCUCAAAGACUAAGCCAUGCAUGUCUAAGUAUAAGUAUUAUACAGCGAAAUUGCGAAUGGCUCAUUAAAACAGUUAUAAUUUAUUUGAUAAUCGAAUUUACAUGGAUAACCGUGGUAAUUCUAGAGCUAAUACAUGCUGGUAGGCCUGACUUUUUGGAAGGGCGGUAUUUAUUAGAUAACAAACCAAUAUUCCUCUGGUCUAUUGUGGUGAAUCAUAAUAACUGAUCGAAUCGCAAGGUUUUUAACCGCGAUAAGUCAUUCAAGUUUCUGCCCCAUCAGCUUUCGAUGGUAGUGUAUUGGACUACCAUGGCUUUUACGGGUAACGGAGGAUUAGGGUUCGAUUCCGGAGAAAGUGCAUGAGAUAUGGCACUUACAGCUAAGGCUGGCAGCAGGAGCGUA
rnacentral:rRNA from 1 species